rnacentral:lncRNA from 10 species
AGAGGAACAACCUGGAAAAAUAUGGAAUACGCAAAUGUACUAAAUGAAGGGUGCUACAGUUGCCGAUGAGAACUGAAAACCUGAAUUUUCUUAGAGAAGUGGGAGAGCAUCUGACCCACUGCUUUCCACAUAGAACCAUGCACAAUAAAAAUUAAAAGAAGAAAUGAAAGAAGAGGUCUCAAGAGGGAAACUGCCUUCGGGAAUCAGAUGCUGUCAAGAAGACAGAUUGAUGACUUUGACUUCAAGGCUUCUCUUACCCUCUUUAAAAUAUACUGAUCUGAUAUUUUUAAUGCUAUGUACUUGUUUCACACAUAUUUCAUGUUCUCACACUAUGUGCAAACUAAGUGCCUUGAUAGUGUAACUAAUGAAGGGCCACAGAAACAUCCUUUUCAUCAAGUAAAGGGACUUGAGACAUGAUCAUAAACAUAUAUUGAUAGCAUAGCCUCAGAUGGAUGACCUGAGGCAAGAAAUAAAAACAAAUGUUCCAGAAGUUUAAAAGAGGUCCAAAUCUUCUAAUUAUGAGAGCUACACCCAGACCAGUUGGGCUGGAGUCUACAGGAGCUAAUGAGAUUCAAGGAUGAGUGAGUCCAAGUCAGUGGACUCUGUCAAAGUUAUGCAUAUGGAAACAAAGCACAUGUUGCCCUAUACCUUGCCAUGCAGUGAUACAUUCAGAGAUUACCAGGUCCAGAACUACAGAGGAGAGAGUGCCUUUAAUAUAACUCAGUGGCUAUGGGCCUUGGUUUCCUCAUCUAUAAAAUGGAAAUCACAUUAGCUCCUUCAUAGGUUUGAUAUGAGAUUGAAAUGAAAUUAUAUUUGUCAAAAGUCUUCUGUUAUCUUAGGGACAUUGCCUAUUCCAAGAAUGGUAGCUAGCAUAUUUAUUAUUGCAGUAUUUCCUCAACUUUAAGAUGCCAUGAGUUGGAAGGCACAUAUUUGAUUUAAAAACAUCUUUUAAAGGGAGUAAAAGGAGGAAAAAAAUAUGUUAAAUCUACACAUAGACUAUAAGAAGGAUGCUGAUUACAGAUAUCUUCAACUGCUAAAAAGAUAUUUCCUAGAACUGAGGAAAUAUGGUAGGUAGUAAAUAGUAUGCCUCAAGAAUCUGUGGAUUCUGUUUAAUUUCUUUGAAGUUUAAAUGCAGACCAAGUCUUUAUAAGUCAGAGACCUCAGGAUAUUCAUGUCUGCCAAAGAAAGGUCCUGUAGCCCAGACCCCAAAGGGUGGAGCAAGGACCCUGAGUGCACACACACGCAGAUACCAGAUAUGGAAACCCAGGAACAAAUCACC